GCGAGAGUAGCCAAGUCGGUCAACGGCGCUGCAUUUAGGGUGCAGUCUGUCAGCAGUUCAUGGGUUCGAAUCCCACCUCUCGCA
rnacentral:tRNA from 1 species